GACGAACGCUGGCGGCGUGCUUAACACAUGCAAGUCGAACGGAGUGGCGAACGGGUGGGUAACACGUGGGUGAUCUGCCUUGCACUCUGGGAUAAGCUUGGGAAACUGGGUCUAAUACCGGAUAGUGCAAGAUGAGCUCGCGGCCUAUCAGCUUGUUGGUGGGGUAAUGGCAUAACAAGGCGUCGCCGGGUAGCCGGCCUGAGAGGGUGGACGGCCGCAUUGAGACUGAGAUACGGCCCAGGCUCCUACGGGAGGCAGCAGUGGGUAAUAUUGCACAAGGUGCGGAAGCCUGAUGCAGCGAGGCCGCGUGGGGGAUGACGGCCUUCGGGUUGUAAACGCCUUUCGACAGAGACGCGGUACCUGUAUAAGAAGCACCGGCUAACUACGUGCCAGCAGCCGCGGUAAUAC
rnacentral:rRNA from 1 species